UUGGUUCCAUUACUAUAGGCAGAAAUAUUUUCAGAACAAAAUCUGCUUCCUAAAUGUCAUAGUUUAGGGCUCACCUGCUUUGUUUUGCAACAUACCCUGUUUUUGCUUUUUGUUUGUUUGUUUUGUUUUGUUUUUUGAAAAACUGCUUUUAUUUGUUGUAACACAAAACUGUUAUUUAGCCUAUUAAUUUAAAAUUAAUAUUUUGUAAUUACAUCCUUGAUUUAUAUGAAAACAAGUCACUAUACCAUUUAUUUCACUUCUUAGUGUGUUUUUAUUGAAUUUCGCCAGGUCCAUUAAUGAACAUAAGAGGAAGGACCAUGGAAAGGAGUAUAUCUCUUACAUAUUCAUAGAAGAUUAUGCCAAGCAGGAAUACUGUGUAUCAGACCUAAAUUUCAUUGGAAGAACCUGACUGAGGAAGUGAAAAGGAAAGGAUGGGAAAUAGGAAAACAUUUGAAAAUAAGGCUGUUGACAGGCUGGAGAGGAAGGAGGAGAUUGAAAAUUUAAAUUGUGCUACCUGAAACAAUGUAUUUUCAUGGAUACAAAUAUGUCUUUGCCUAUUUAAAAAAGUACUAGUUACUAUGAGGUAGGAUUUAUCCAUGUCAGUUAUGGUACAAUAUGCUUUAGGAAUUUAAUUCCUAGGGACUUAAAUUGAAAGUUAGUAGUAUGGUUAUUUAAAAACUCAUUAAAACAAUUUAAAAAGAGAUAAUUUCUCACUGUAAUUGUGUACUUUUCUCCAUUUCCAUUGCUUAUAUAGAUAUGUAUUACUUCUUACCAUCUUGUAAAUGAUGUUUAGUUACUUAUAAUAGUUUUUCUUUAUGUGAGCAUAGUUAUAAAUACAGAUGAUAGUGUAAAAUAAUACAAAGAAUAGUGUACUCUACCUUACUUAUCUGUUUGUAAAUACUCAUUUGUGUGUGUGUGUGAAUAUGUGUGUGUGUGUGUGUGUGUGUGUGUACUUUUAAUGUGAGUGAGGCAUGUGCCUUGAGAGUGUGGCGGUUGCUGUGGCAACAGAAGCAAGCAAGUCUUUGUUACCUAAGGAUGAUGUCAUUGCUGGAUUCAGAGGCUAGCUGUAAACCACUUCUGAUGAUAACAUACCUCCCUUUUUCUUAUCAUAGAGAGAAGAAAAAAGGGAAACAGGGGAAGCCAAUGCUAAAAGGGAAAUAGGGGCUUUAGACCUCUUAAACUGCUCCCUGCUGUCUAGGAGCAUUAUCAGUUUUGGGAUGUAGCUGACUUUCACCAUCCAGGCCCACUUGAUAGUUCUGUAAAAGGAACUGUUUGACUUUUUGGUUAUAAUAUUUUGAAUUUGUCUUUGAAGGAAUGUGGAAACAAGAUUAAUGAGGCAGGGAGGAAAUAGUAGGUCCAGGAAAAUGGGGAGAAGAGGCAGUAAGAAGGGCAGUAUGCUAUUUCCAUUUAGGGUUUUGAAAAACCCAGGAAUUGGAGGCCCCAUGCUGUUCCCUGCAUUUCUGGAUGUCUGAUUGCAGCUGAUGGAAUGUAUUUCUUACUGCCCCAGAUUCGUUGACAUAGAAACAGCAUUCUUCCUGGUGAAACAGACAAAGACCACCUUCUUUAGCUGUCAGGAAUUCUAGUCCCUGUCAGUUCUGAAGCACAACUGCUGCCAACGAAUCGAUCUUUUUCUGGAUGAUGAGCAUGGUUUCAUACAUUCCUUGGAAACCGUUGUCAAGCUGGGAUAAGAACUUCUUGUAUAGGGUUAGAGAAGUCUUUGGCCCUGCUGUUCCAGUGCCAGCACCUGUAGCUACUCCUGCAGCAACCAGGAAUGGCACAACCUGCAGUGCCCUCUUAUGCUGGACAGGAAUGUCAAAAACUGGAAUUGGUAGAGAUUCUUUGCCAUGUAUUACUCCUAGUUCAGGGAAGGAACACCAGUGUGCAAACUCUUCCUGACCAGCUGGCAGGAGACUGGAGAGAUGACGGAGAAGUUAAGAACAUGUACUACUUUUGAAGAAGACCCAUGUUAGAUUCAAAGAACAAGAUGAUUCAUAAUCACUGGUAAUUUCAGUUUCAGGGACCCAAUACCCUUCCUUUUCUAGCCUCCACAGGCAACCCUAUGCAUGCAAAUAUUCACACAUAAUUUAAUAAAGACAUACCCCACACACA